rnacentral:rRNA from 1 species
UGAAGUUCAGGUAACACUGAAUGGAGGACCGAACCGACUUACGUUGAAAAGUGAGCGGAUGAACUGAGGGUAGCGGAGAAAUUCCAAUCGAACCUGGAGAUAGCUGGUUCUCUCCGAAAUAGCUUUAGGGCUAGCCUCAAGUGAUGAUUAUUGGAGGUAGAGCACUGUUUGGACGAGGGGCCCCUCUCGGGUUACCGAAUUCAGACAAACUCCGAAUGCCAAUUAAUUUAACUUGGGAGUCAGAACAUGGGUGAUAAGGUCCGUGUUCGAAAGGGAAACAGCCCAGACCACCAGCUAAGGUCCCAAAAUAUAUGUUAAGUGGAAAAGGAUGUGGCGUUGCCCAGACAACUAGGAUGUUGGCUUAGAAGCAGCCAUCAUUUAAAGAGUGCGUAAUAGCUCACUAGUCGAGUGACACUGCGCCGAAAAUGUACCGGGGCUAAACAUAUUACCGAAGCUGUGGAUUGUCCUUUGGACAAUGGUAGGAGAGCGUUCUAAGGGCGUUGAAGCAUGAUCGUAAGGACAUGUGGAGCGCUUAGAAGUGAGAAUGCCGGUGUGAGUAGCGAAAGACGGGUGAGAAUCCCGUCCACCGAUUGACUAAGGUUUCCAGAGGAAGGCUCGUCCGCUCUGGGUUAGUCGGGUCCUAAGCUGAGGCCGACAGGCGUAGGCGAUGGAUAACAGGUUGAUAUUCCUGUACCAC